rnacentral:lncRNA from 1 species
AAGAAAGAUUCUGACGUGGACUGAGGCUGAUGCAAAAAAUCCACGGAGCUGGAAGUUACCUCAAAACAAGGUUCUGUGUCACCAACUGAUGCACGGCCAGAUCUUGAUAGCGGACUUGACUAUGCCAUGGUUACACCACUCAGUCCCUUUUGAGAACACAAGGUCCGUUCUUUGGAAGUGACUGUGCAAUACUUCAUCCUGUCCUGCCACCAUCAGUCCUCAUCCUUUACCUCUGCAAGUUACACCGAAGUUCUUCAGGUGGUAGCUGAUGAGAGCAGUAACACAGGAAGUUGCCCAGCUGGGGAUGAAGACACAAGAGCCUACUGCAGAACCACAGCUUCUCAGACCUUUGUACGUGCACAAGCCCUCUGUCUCACCUCCAAUAGAAAGCCAUCCAUCCCCUGUGGGAAUAUUUCUCCCGGGGUAACAACUUUACUAGGAAACUCAGCUAAGAGGCACAUUAACUGUCCAGCAGCCUAUUGGGAAGAGUGGUAGAGGGGGCGAUGUUAAGUCAGGAGGAGAUCGUGUGUGUGGACCAGGAGAAAUACAGCCUUUCAUGACAUUGAGCAUUGUGAGAAGAGUGAGAACACAUUUUCAGAUCAUCAGAAAUGAUUACCAAUUGAAAAGAACGCAGUGUUGCCUUUGCCAUAAUGAGAGGGGCUGAGAGGGCAGCUACAGCAAGGAUGUGGAGAGAAGCAGGGACAGUGAGUCUCCAGCAGCAGGGAGAACAGGGGCCACCCAGACCAGGAGACAGCAUCUAGAGGACUGGGGACAGUGGGCUAUUGCUCUGGCAUCUUCAUUUUCUGUUCCCUUCCACCCACUAGGCAGCC